GUCCUUGUAGCGCAAUGGAUUGCGCGUUGAACUUCUAAUUCAAACAUCUGGGGCUCGAAUCCCACCUGGGAUG